GUUAGUGUGGCAGAGCCCGGCAAAUGCAAAAGACCUAAGCCCUUUUUACCAGGGGUUCAACUCCCCUCACUAACU
rnacentral:tRNA from 1 species